rnacentral:lncRNA from 1 species
AAUGAAUUACUUUUAUGUCAAGGUCUUUUCCACUGUAAUAUAAAAUAUCUUUUGACAAAUCCGGGUAACUUCCAUCUUUUUUUUUUUUUUUUUGAUACUAGAUGUCUUAGUGCCUUUAACAUUUUGAUAUUUGUGGUAUAUUUUUCUCCAGUCUUUCUGCUCUCUCUCUCUCUCAUCCUUUUUUUCUGUCUAUUUUUUAAGACAAGUGAAAAGAGAAUAUGCCAGAAACAAUUCCUUAAAUGCGAUUUAUUUCAGACACAGUUUUUUGAUAUUUGACAUAAGGCCAUUUUGUGUAUGCACAAGAUUUAGUAUACAUAAUUUGGUGUAACUUCAUGAAUUUGGAGAAUGCAGUGGAAUACUAUGCUCAGUGAAUUGUUUUACAUAGCGUAAUCACUGACUACUCCCCAACUCACUUUUAAAAAGAGAGAUCAGAAGUUUUGCCUCCAUUUCAUAAAUGGUAAAACAGAUAAGGCACGGCUUUCAUACAUGGAAGGCAUUUCAAAGGUCAUUUCCUUCACUCCUGGAACAUAUUUGUGCUUUUCUGCUUUGUUUUUUGAAAAGUCAAUCCUCUUCGUGACCAUGUAGAAUUAUCUGACAAUGGGUUCAUGCUGCCUAGCUGGCUGGCAACUUGAAAUGGAGUCAUAUUAAAACCUGCAUUGUAAUCAUGGGAGUUCCUCAUUUCUAAGCCUAUAACUAAUUCAAAAGCAAUUGAAAUCCCCAAGGAGAUCACACUGUACUGGGAAGCAAUCCCCCAGAGUGAGACCAUGAGAUGGGCUAAAUCCAUCAGGCAGGUAUACAGGCAAGCAAGCAGACUCCAGGUAGAGGGAGAACCCAAAAUAGAAUCGAGAUGUACAGUUGAUCAUCCCAUAGUCAGGCUACUUGAUUGACUCUCUUAAAAGCCCAUGUUCUCACAAAGCAAGCUAAUCCUGAUGCAUUCAUUGCACUGAAUGUAAACAGAGCUCAUGUAUUUCUGCAUAAGUCUGUCAAUCAUGUAAGUGCAGAGAGCUACGUCCUGGAGAACACAAGGGAACGAAACUGCACUCUAUCACUUUGAACAGCUCACAGUGGUUUCUUUAAACAUUUACUGAGUGACUUCAGUGUGUUUGUGUCAGUGUUAGGCAUGCUUCUGCUAACAAUCUUGAGAUGUGGUGAGGUACAAAUAGGAAGUAAUUAGUAUAGCUAAGUAAAUGUCAUUAACAAAAUGUAUGAAAAGGAAUGAGAAAAAUCGUUCUAUCAAAGUAAAUGUGUGUGACAACUUAGAGAAAAGUGAAGUGCUAUCUGAA